GAGAACACUGUGAUGAUGAUCGGUUUUACACAUGUGCAAGUAAUACCGUCUUCUUACUGUCGUUGACACUAGCUAUGGGUGGUCAACCAUACACAACAUGAGAUGGGAUUGCCAUAUAAGUGGUGUAACGCCCCCUCCAAGGGCUCGUGGGUGAGGAGGAAGACGCAACCACCCAAGAACGUGCACGCCGGAUAAGGGUCUACCGAAAAGGGACUUCCU
rnacentral:lncRNA from 1 species